GCAAACUUGGUCAUUUAGAGGAAGUAAAAGUCGUAACAAGGUUUCCGUAGGUGAACCUGCGGAAGGAUCAUUAUUGAAUGUCCUUGAUGGGUUGUCGCUGGCUCCUUGGGGCAUGUGCACACCUGUCUUGACUCCAUUCAUCCCCCUGUGCACUCUUUGUAGUCUUUUCUGGGGCUGAAGCAGUGGCAGUCGGUCGAGAGACUGGAUCUGAGGUUUGCCCUUGUAGCUCUCCUCUCUAGCCAUGAAAUCAGCCUCAGGGGGCUAUGUCUUUUUAUUCAUAGACCAAUAGUAUGUUGCCAGAAUGUAUUCAAUGGGCCAUUGUGCCUAUAAACCUUAUACAACUUUCAGCAACGGAUCUCUUGGCUCUCGCAUCGAUGAAGAACGCAGC
rnacentral:misc_RNA from 1 species